rnacentral:hammerhead_ribozyme from 1 species
AUCCAACUGACAAAUCCCAAUUUGGACGAAACGCCCGUCCUGGAU